UUUGUGACCUAUCCAUUUGGCCGGGUUGCGGAAGCCCGAGUCCCCCUGACCGGGGCCACCGCCCCAAGGCGGGUGCAAGGCCCCUGCGGCUUCAUUCUCGCGGCCCGGAGGUUACGGCUCAUCAACUCCUCAGAGUCGGGUUGCUUGAAAGUGCAGCCCUAAGCGGGUGGUAAACUCCAUCUAAGGCUAAAUACGUACCACGAGACCGAUAGCGAACAAUGUACGGUGACGGAAAGUUGGAACAGCACUCUGGAGAGAGAGUUCAAGAGUACGUGAAACCGCUCGGAGGUAAACGUGUGGGCCCUCGAAGCUCGAAACGAGGGAUUCAGCCCGUAUAAAUAGAACGGUAAUGUCGCCUGCAGAAUCCGUCCUAUGUGAUCUUUCUCGCUUUUUUUUUCCCUUCACGGGGGAGCGAGAAACUUUGCGGACUCCUGUCUCGGAGCCGGUUCACGACGGUUUUCGGUCGUUUCACUCUACGCCGAAAAGCACGGCUGCCGUCGGGUGCACUUCCCUCUUAGUAGGACGUCGCGACCGGUCGGGUUGAGUCAAUUAAGUGCGGCCAUGCGGCGAGAAAUAAUCGGGGCAGGUGGCCGUUUCCGUGUCGGAGAGAUUGCGAAAAGGCUUCGGCCGACGCGCGUCCGUCUCUCCAAAACAGACCGGGUGCGGUGUUAUAUGAGCCCUAGCUCGAAGCCCGUGCAGUGCACCGCCGCCCGACUGACCAAACAAAUCGGCGUACAACCGUCGAUGCGUGCCUGUCUCGUUUUUUUUUUAUUUGGAAAAAACGCUCGCUCUAGUCCCGCGAAGGCUGGGUGACUUAUACAGAGUAACGUGCCCUUUUCUGAUUCCGUCUCGGAUCGGAAGCUCCCGGCG
rnacentral:rRNA from 1 species